rnacentral:misc_RNA from 1 species
AAGUCGUAACAAGGUAACCGUAGGUGAACCUGCGGUUGGAUCAUUAUAAAAUAAUGAUGGCAUACUCUGUGAGCUUGGUCGUAUGCGGUUUAAGCUGUCUGUAAAUUCGACUGCUCUAAGAGAUAGCCUCCCAUCAACCUCUGUGCACUGUAAUUGUAUCGGGUUUAGGCAACAAGAUGAAUCUUAUGGAGGUCAUUUGACUGUGAGGAAGAGUGUAUCUUUGUGAGGUCAUCAGUGAAGCUUAGACCCAAAAACGGUUUCGACCGUAUAAACAACUUUUAAUUUUGACUGACUUUUGUUUCUAACGAAUCAAAAACAACUUUUAACAACGGAUCUCUUGGCUCAC